GGUAAGGUGGCUGAAGGCCCAAGCGGUGGAUUGUAGCCCCAUAUAUGGAGGUUUAAGUCCUCCCCUUAUCA
rnacentral:tRNA from 1 species